rnacentral:rRNA from 1 species
AACGAACGCUGGCGGCAUGCCUAACACAUGCAAGUCGAACGAAGGCUUCGGCCUUAGUGGCGCACGGGUGAGUAACGCGUGGGAAACUGCCUAUUGGUGGGGAAUAACGACGGGAAACUGUCGCUAAUACCGCAUAAGCCCUUCGGGGGAAAGAUUUAUCGCCGAUAGAUGUGCCCGCAGUCCGAUUAGCUAGUUGGUGAGGUAAUGGCUCACCAAGGUGACAAUCGGUAGCUGGUCUGAGAGGAUGAUCAGCCACACUGGGACUGGGACACGGCCCAGACUCCUACGGGAGGCAGCAGUGGGGAAUAUUGGACAAUGGGCGAAAGCCUGAUCCAGCAAUGCCGCGUGAGUGAUGAAGGCCUUAGGGUUGUAAAGCUCUUUCGGGUGGGACGAUGAUGACGGUACCACCAGAAGAAGCCCCGGCUAACUUCGUGCCAGCCGCCGCCGUAA